rnacentral:rRNA from 1 species
AUUCCAGCUCCAAUAGCGUAUAUUAAAGUUGUUGCAGUUAAAAAGCUCGUAGUUGGAUUUUUGACAGGAGCGACCAUACCGGGCUUGAUUGUCCGUGUUUUGUGUUGUCUCCAGUCAUCCUCGUGGAGAGCGUUUCUGGCAUUAAUUUGUUGGAGGCGGGACCCGCGUCAUUUACUGUGAAAAAAUUAGAGUGUUUAAAGCAGGCAAUUGGCUUGAAUACAUUAGCAUGGAAUAAUAAGAUAGGACUUUGGUGCUAUUUUGUUGGUUUGCACAUCAAGGUAAUGAUUAACAGAAUCAGUCGGGGAUAUUCGUAUGCAAAUGUCAGAGGUGAAAUUCUUGGAUUUUUUACAGACGAACUACUGCGAAAGCGUUUAUCAAGGAUGUUUUCAUUG